UACGAAGGGGGCUAGCGUUGUUCGGAAUUACUGGGCGUAAAGGGCGCGUAGGCGGUGUGUCAAGUCAGGCGUGAAAGCCCCGGGCUCAACCUGGGAACAGCGCUUGAGACUGGCACGCUCGAGUUCGGGAGAGGAUGGUGGAAUUCCCAGUGUAGAGGUGAAAUUCGUAGAUAUUGGGAAGAACACCGAUGGCGAAGGCAGCCAUCUGGACCGACACUGACGCUGAGGUGCGAAAGCGUGGGGAGCAAACAGG
rnacentral:rRNA from 1 species